UUUCCCUCUCUUUUUCUGUCCUCUGUUUCUGUUUUAUUUACCUCACACAUUUGGAAAUUCUUGUCAGCAGAUCCCUGUCUUUGUUCAACAUCCGCUUUCUUGUGAAGGCCAGCCCUUAAGAGAAGCACACAGCAAAGUCUGCUAUCAAGCAGGAUGAUAAAUACACUGGGAAUGAAUAAAAGCAUCCAAGAAACAAAUGCUGAAACUUCCCAGUAGAAAAUAUGAAGAUAUCACAAAGUGGCAUGGGUUCCUUGUCUUUCAGUAAGAAGGAGGCCCAUCAAGAACCAAAAGAGCUGGAUGAAAGUAGUGAGUGUGUUGAAUGUCGGGCAAGAUUACUUUCAAAUUCCAUAUCUCAGUAGUAGAUUUUUCAGCAGAAUGUAUUAUAAAAGGUGGAAGCAGGGUGUGAGACAACCACCCCACAACCCAUAAACCUUUAGGAAUAUUUUGCUAGGGAAAUAAAUUAUUUUUUGGAAAUUUAA